GACGAACGCUGGCGGCGUGCUUAACACAUGCAAGUCGAACGGUGAAGCGCCUUCCUUUUCGGUUGGUGUGGCUGAGUGGCGAACGGGUGAGUAACACGUGAGUAACCUGCCCCCUUCUUCUGGAUAACCUCAUGAAAGUGUGGCUAAUACGGUAUAUUCUGGGUCUGUCGCAUGAUGGGUCUGGGACCGCUAUUGUUUCGGUGGGGGCUGGGCUCGCGGCCUAUCAGCUUGUUGGGGGGGUGAUGGCCUACCAAGGCGAUGACGGGUAGGCGGCCUGGGAGGAUGGGCGGCCACACAGCUGAGAAGACGCGGAGAAGACUCCGACGGGAGGCAGCGGGGGGGAAUAUUGCACAAGGGGAGGAAGGAUGAUGCAGCGACGCGGCGAGAGGGAUGGAGGCCGUCGUGUUGAGAACCUCUUGCGCGAGUGAAGUAGGUCUGCCUAGUUUGUGUGUGGGUUGACGGUAGCUGGAUAAGAAGCGCCGGCUAACUACGUG
rnacentral:rRNA from 1 species